UUCCUUUAGUAAAUAUUUAAAGGUAUUACCUGCCCCAUGUUAUGAACAAAUGGCUGCGGUAUCUUAACUGCACUAAGGUAGCAUAAUUAAUUGUCUUUUAAAUGGUGACUUGUUUGAAUGGUUUAAUGCGAGAAAAUUUUUCUUUGGGCUAGGUUUAAUUUAUAUUCUUGGUCAAAAUACCCAGAUAAAAAAGAAAGACGAGAAGACCCUGUUGAGUUUUACAACAACUUAAGUUGUUAAAAUGGGAAAUUUAAUUUCAUAUUGAAAUUUUUUAGAUCCUACUUUGAGGAAAAAGGAUUAAAUUACCACAGGGAUAACAGGACAAUAUCUACUAAGAGUUCUAAUUGAAGUAGAUGUUUGUUACCUCGAUGUUGAAUCGAAAUUUCUUCUUGGUGCAGCAGCCAAAGAAGUAGGUCUGUUCGACCUUUUAAAUUUC
rnacentral:rRNA from 1 species